rnacentral:lncRNA from 1 species
GUUAUAUUGGGAUGAAAACAAAAGUGUGCCUCCAGUUCAGUUUGGAGUGUGAUCCCUAGGAACCGGAAUGAAUAAAAUAGGCCGGAAAGGCUUGCAUGCCUUACAUCCUUAAUGCAGCUGGUGUGCCGCGCUGCUCGAAGGCAGAGACUUGGCGUCAUGGUCCUUAGUGGACCGGCCUUUAUCUCAGCAUUAAGAUCCCUGAUGGCAAAUAACAGUGAUUGCGCCUCAUUGGAAAAUAUUGUGGCUGCCAUUGUACUUCUUAAGAGAUUCCCCACCUCCUUCUUUUUCCCUGCGUUCAUUCCAACAUACUCUCUUGUAGAAUGUUCUCCACUCCUCUUCACUCAGAGGGAGGCAACGAAUUGGUCUACUCUCCAAGGAAAACUUUAUAGUAUAGCCAGGGACUGUGCCUGGCCAGAGUCUGCUGUUGCUAAGAAAAUCAAUUCAAUAAAUUUAAUUCAUUAAAAAACGUCCAUGAUUCAAAACACUACUAAAGCAUCACAUUAUUAUUUACGUUGAAAAGUGGGACUGUAAACAGCCAAUGUUUAAUUUGAAGAAAUUAUUUGAGUUAUUGGACAUGAAUUCAAAUCACUUUUAUUAAAUAACUCCUUGUGCCCAUGACUAUGCUAUGUGCCAGGUUCCUGAUUUUAGUGGAAGCA